GACGUAGCUGCGGGUGGUUGUGGUGGCGGCGUCCAAGAUGUCGACGAAGAAUUUCCGAGUCAGUGACGGUGACUGGAUUUGCCCUGACAAAAAAUGUGGAAAUGUAAACUUUGCCAGAAGAUCUAGCUGUAAUAGAUGUGGUCGGGAGAAAACAACUGCGGCUAAGAUGAUGAAAGCUGGGGCUACUGGAAUAGGGAAGACGCUUGCAGACAAGAGCCGAGGCCUUUUUAGUGCUAAUGACUGGCAGUGCAAAACAUGCAGUAAUGUGAAUUGGGCCAGAAGAUCAGAGUGUAACAGGUGUAAUACUCCAAAGUAUGCUAAGUUAGAAGAAAGAACGGGCUAUGGUGGUGGUUUUAAUGAAAGAGAAAAUGUUGAAUAUAUAGAAAGAGAAGAAUCUGAUGGUGAAUAUGAUGAGUUUGGACGUAAAAAGAAAAAAUACAGAGGGAAGGCAGUUGGUCCUGCAUCUAUUUUAAAGGAAGUUGAAGAUAAAGAAUCUGAGGGAGAAGAAGAGGAUGAGGAUGAAGAUCUUUCUAAAUAUAAAUUAGAUGAGGAUGAGGAUGAAGAUGGUGCUGAUCUCUCAAAAUAUAAUCUUGAUGCCAGUGAAGAAGAAGAUAGUAAUAAAAAGAAAUCUAAUAGACGAAGUCGCUCAAAGUCUCGAUCUUCACAUUCACGAUCUUCAUCACGCUCAUCCUCCCCCUCAAGUUCAAGGUCUAGGUCCAGGUCCCGUUCAAGAAGUUCUUCCAGUUCGCAGUCAAGAUCUCGUUCCAGUGCCAGAGAACGUUCGAGAUCUCGUGGGUCGAAAUCAAGAUCCAGCUCCAGGUCCCACAGGGGCUCUUCUUCCCCACGAAAAAGAUCUUAUUCAAGUUCAUCAUCAUCUCCUGAGAGGAACAGAAAGAGAAGUCGUUCUAGAUCUUCUUCAUCUGGUGAUCGCAAAAAAAGACGAACAAGAUCGCGGUCACCCGAAAGGCACCACAGGUCAUCUUCUGGAUCAUCCCAUUCUGGUUCCCGUUCAAGUUCAAAAAAGAAAUAAUGUAUUAAAAUUUACAUCUUAAAA